rnacentral:rRNA from 1 species
AAAUGAAUAGACGGGGGCCCGCACAAGCAGCGGAGCAUGUGGUUUAAUUCGAAGCAACGCGAAGAACCUUACCUAGACUUGACAUCUCCUGAAUUACCCUUAAUCGGGGAAGCCCUUCGGGGCAGGAAGACAGGUGGUGCAUGGUUGUCGUCAGCUCGUGUCGUGAGAUGUUGGGUUAAGUCCCGCAACGAGCGCAACCCUUAUCAUUAGUUGCUACCAUUAAGUUGAGCACUCUAGUGAGACUGCCACGGUUAACGUGGAGGAAGGUGGGGAUGACGUCAAAUCAUCAUGCCCCUUAUGUCUAGGGCUACACACGUGCUACAAUGGUGAAUACAAAUAGAUGCAAUACCGCGAGGUGGAGCCAAACUAUAAAAUUCAUCCCAGUUCGGAUUGUAGUCUGAAACUCGACUACAUGAAGCCGGAGUUGCUAGUAAUCGCGAAUCAGCAUGUCGCGGUGAAUACGUUCCCGGGCCUUGUACACACCGCCCGU